UAAUAUCAAUUCGAUUAACACAUCAAAAUUAGUAGAGUGAAAAAAACAAUUAAUUGAGGGUUGAACGGAAACCGAUUGCGUGCAAACGUUUACCAAAAAUGCAAAUUAUGUUUGGAACAAUUUUAUGUGUUUUAUUGAAAGGUUUAAUAUUGACAAAGGCAACUAUCACGCCGAAGGAUGAUAACACUUUAAAUAUCCUUCAGAAAGAAAGUAUUUCCCUGUAUCCGGAUUUAAAUUUCACGCAGGAUAUUUCAAUGUUCGAGAUAAAUAAUCAUCAUAUAGUAAAUUUCAAAUCUGAUCGGAGUCAUUCCGAUAGUACUGUGAGAAAUGAGCGAGAAGUCGAUGAAGUUACACGUGCAAAUAUUUCUAUCAUCCCAGGAUCUAUCGAAAACAAUUUGGACAACCAACAUCUCUCAGAGCAUUUGUACAAUUCGACAGUCAAUUCACAGAAAAAGUAAACGAUAUUUUUGUGACAUUGGGGAGAUGGAACCAACCUGAAUCCGAUGAAAUAGUACAAGGGUACACGGUGCAGUGUUUUUUCAUCGAGGAUUUAAAAGAGAUUCAAAUAUGCGAGGAUAAAAAUAUCACAACUACAGAAUUGGAGCACACGGUUCACAAUCUAACAUUUAACACGACAUAUUAUUUUCGAAUACGUGCGCAUACUAAAAUUGUUCCUAGACCUUACACGGAUUUAAUCAAUGUGUUGACUACACAUGUAAAUCCAAUAUCUAAAUUAUUAGUAACAACGUAUCUAGGUAUCCAAAUAUGGGACAUGGAUUUAAAUAUUACUAAUUUCAUAGUGUCGUUUAUUUAUGAAAUUACUCACUCUGAAAGAUCAAUAAUAAAUGCUCCUGGGGGACAUAAAUAUAAAAACUAUUUUAUUCUUAAGAUGAUAAGUCAAAGAGGAAGCCUAGUAACAUCGAUGAUUAAUGAAAAUAAAAUCACAAAAACAGCUAGCUUUGAUAAUUAUCUAUAUGAUAAAUCAGUAAUAAAUGCCGCUUAUUCGAUACAAGAACAUAGAAUUUAUUGGAGUAUCUUCGAAAGAGAUCUAAUAACACUGAUUAAUAAAAAUAACAUUACAAAAAUAGCUACAUUUGAUUAUGAUCUACAUGCUCUCUGCAUUGACUGGGUAGCAAGAAAUCUAUAUUGGUCCUAUUCAGAGUCAGACUACUAUUACAUUGUAAAGUUCGACUUAACAUUGUGGGAAAAUGGCAUGAUUAAACUUGAUGAGAUUUUCAAAUCAGAAAUUGAUAAUGGCUAUUUAAGUAUAUCGCCGUUUAUGAGGCACGUUUACUACCGUUUACUACCAUUCGCCUAAAAAAAUAA